rnacentral:lncRNA from 1 species
CUUGAAAAGAUUGAGAUGUUUGCAAAAAUUCUAAACAUACCAAAAAACUUUUAAUAUUAGUUUUCUCUGAUGUUAGGAUUAUGAGUAAUUUCUUUUCAAGUUUAUCUGUCUAUAUUUUUAGCUGUCUACAAAGUGACUUUUCAGGUUAUCAAAGCAAUUCUGAUUAUAUUCGAAAAAAAAAAAAGCAAAAGUUACUUUAAAAUAGCAAGUUCUACCAUGUAGUUGCACAUAAUUCUGAAGUGAAAGACAGUUGGAGGCCAGGGGUGGUAGCUCACCCCUGUAAUCCCAGCGCUUUGGGAGGCCAAGGUGGGAGGAUCACUUGAGACCAGGAGUUUGAGAUCAGCUUGGGCAACAUAGCCAGACCCUAUCUCUAAUUAAAAAAAAAAAAAGUUGGAAACUAUAAUGAAGAAACCACUACAGUGGUUAUUAUGUGAUCUUCUUUCUAGUUUCUGUGUAGCUCUGCUUUACAUAAUCUUUAAACCAUCUAUUUUGCUUCAUUAAUUGAGCACACAUUUAUUGAGAAACUUCUUUUUUUUUUGGUUCUUUUUUUUUAAUCUUUAUUUUUUUUACUAUACUUUAAGUUCUAGGGUACAUGUGCACAACGUGCAGGUUUGUUACAUAUGUAUACAUGUGUCAUGUUGGUGUGCUGCACCCAUUAACUCGUCAUUUACAUUAGGUACAUCUCCUAAUGCUAUCCCUCCCCCCUCCCCCCACCCCACAACAGGCCCCAGUGUGUGAUGUUCCCCUUCCUGUGUCCAAGUGUUCUAUUAAGAAACUUCUAUAUAGCAGCACUGCGCCAGGCACUGGGGAUACAAGUGUAAGCACGACAAAGUUCUUGGGGAGAAAUAUUAUAAAUAAACAAGGCACAUCUUUAAUUCCAGUUAACAAUGGUGCUUUUGGGAAAAAUAAAGCAGGGUGGGGGUGAGGGAGCGAUGCAGUAUGGUUGUUUCGGACACCGCAGUCAGGGUUUGAGGAGGCACUGACUCUAGGUCGGAGACCUGAACGGUAUGCAUUGGCCCUGUGAAAAUCCAGGUAAAGAGUAGUAGUCCGGGCAAGGGAAUAGCAAGUAAAAAGGAAAAUUCUCAAAUGAUCUAAGACCAAUUAGAAAAAAAAAAUAUAGCAGAAUACAUUUAGGUUUUUCUUUGUUUGCCUGUUUUUUUUUUUUUUUUUUUCUUUUUUAGACAGAGUCUCACUCUGUUGCCCAGGCUGGAGUGCAAUGGCCCUGUCUUGGCUCACCGCAAUCUCCACCUCCUGGGUUCAAGCGAUUCUUGCACCUCAGCCUCCAAAGUAGCUGGGAUUACAGGUGUGAGCCAGUGUGUCCAGUCUUUGUUUGCUUUUCAGGUUCAAGGAACACAUUGUUCCCUCAAAAAACAGACCGGCAGCUGAGAGAGGAUGGCAAUCCUGAUGGAUGAGAAAAAGAACAGAGCUAUUUAAGGAUUCAAUAUGGACUGCCUCAAAUAUAAAGGGACACAUUUGCUACAUGGUCCAGAGACUUGUGUUCCUGGCCCAGAAUCUCCUUGUCCUAUCAAUUGUUGGAAAGACACUGCCUGCAUUUGCCCUUUUGCCUCUCUCUGUUCUGUACUUGCACUAUCAAAUAAAAACAAUUUCUAAUGGAUAGGCAUGUUUACUCAUAAGAGUUUUUAAGUGAUGUGUAAACUAAAUGCUGAAAUUUUAAGCUAAAAUGCUACUUAUUCGCUUGCAUGGAAAUACUAGGUAAUAACUGACUAAGUGCUGUGCUGACUUUAUGUGGAAGCAAGAUGGAGUUUCAGUAACAUUCUCCACGUGCUGUUCUGAAAAAUCAUGAAUACCUGAUUAUACAUAAAUUCUCUUUGAAAGGGAAUACAGUGUUUUUACUUAGCAGGAACAAAAUGGUUUUUCAGUUUUUCCAUAUAAGCAUCUCUCUUCGAAAUGUUUCAUUUUGGCAAAAGCUAACAGAAUAAUAUAUACAAAGAUGACCAAUGAAAACAGAAACACUGUAAUAAUGGGUUCUGAGAUUACAAAACUGAGAACCUGGGAAUCAAGCCCAGUUCAACAUUUACAAUAAUGGGAUGCUCACUUGCACCUCAUGAUCUAUAAGGGGAUGGUGGAAAAUGAGGAAGUGGAAGGGAGGAGUCUUAUCUGGUUCUCUGCCCAGUCAGUUCAUUGUUGCACUAGAAAGUGAUAUAAAUUCACAGUUCUCUUGUAAGGCUAGGUAAGGACAAGAAAUUCUCAGGGGAAAAUGAUAUAUCCAAUUUAGAAGCUGCAAUAUGGGUCAAAUAAAUAUAAAUGGGAAUAAUAAAUGCCAUCGAAAAAGUCUUGGACUAGGAAAAGCCCAGGGGUACUAGAUAUUGCAACGGUGGCACAUAAGGAAAGCAGUAACAGCAUUUCAUUAGGAUAUUUUAUUACAUGGAAGGAUUUUUUAAAGGAGAAAAUUUAUGUACUUCAUAUAUUUAAUUUGUACUCGAAUAUUUGAAAUGCUCCUUUUGACUAUAUGUAUAUAUAUUAUAUAUAUAUUCUUUUCUAUUUUUAUCACAGAGAGUAAGAUCGCUGAAAUCUCCAUAUUUAUAUUCAUAUAGUAAAAGCCUUCAUUAUAUAAAAAUAAUCUCCAAUGCCCACUCACAGGUCAAGUGUAUCUAACUCCGAGUUAAGAAACUGUAUACUGAAGUACAGCCCCGUCUUGUUCCUUUUAUAGCCAGUCUUUAUGCAAGAAGUCUGAAACAAAUAUUUCAGUGACAUUCCUCUGUAGUAAUGCCCCUUGUUUGUUUUAAAGAUUCAGUUUUUAAAACUUCUAUGCCCAAUUAAGUAGACAUUGUCCAACAGACCCGAUAGGAAAUCACACAUUUAAAAAUAUUACCUCAUAAUAUGUUGUCUUAUUGGUAGAUCUAAUGUAAUGGGUUUUAUAUUUCACUAUAUACAAAAUUUUUAAUAAUAAAAAUAUUUUCUUUAAAUUCACAUCAGAGCACUUUCUGGAUUUGUAAGUACUUUUUGGUUUCAAAAAUACAUGUUAAAUUUGAGAGAGAAUUUCUGGAUUCAGAAAGAGUUUAAUAUUUAACACACAAAAUGUGUUUUAAAUCAUCUGCGCCUUUGACAGCUCAGCUAACAAGCCAAUCUUUAGACUUUAUCAGAAACUUUUGCAUGUGGAAUUAGGGCAGGGACUCCUUGCAAUAAAUUUUUUAAAAUCUUAGCUUCAUUGGCUAAAUUUAAGAGUCUUGAGAUCUGUAAAUGAAGGAGAAUUAUAUAUUAUAAAUUGUCAUGGAAAGAAGGCACGUUUCUAAUUAAACAAAUUCUGACUUAGAAUAAAAUGACUGAAAUUUUUGGUGCUUUUUCCUCUCUAAAUUGUAGCAUUAGAGUAGUAGAUUGAUAUUAGAAGUGUAUUAGCUGAGUCAGUGCUUAGGGAGCAUUUUGAGAUCCUUGGCCUUUAAGUACCAUACACUUUCAAAGAAGCAAUUUUACUUAUAGCUCAAUAUAAUAUAAUGCAAUAUGGAGAAAUAAUGCCAAUGACAGCUUCAUGGGGUGUUGCCCUAUUUAUGAAACCUUAACAUGUCACUUAUGUAUGGCUGCUUAUGCUCCUCCAUACAAGCAGCUAAGACAACAAUUUUACAGAUGCAAAAAUUAAUAAAGAAAACAAAAGGAAGAAAUGAAGGCAGAAAGUGAAAGAAGAAAGAGACCAAAAAAGAUGUCUCAUGAUCACAAGCUAUUCCACAGGCAGAGGCAAAUGAUAAGAUUUGUUUACUUUUUUCUCACCAAAUGUAAUUAUAAAUCACUUGGUUCUUUUUUUACUGUUAAUAUUGUAAAUUCUGUAAAUCUCAAUACAUCUUUUCUGUCCCAAUCCCCAGAUGCCAUGUGGUCAUUUUAUAGAAGGACCAUUUCUCACCCACAUGAACCAAGGUGGUGAAAAAGGGAUGGUUGAUUUAAUACCCUAACUCAGAAUUUAUGUAGAUUUAAAAAUCUCUGACUUAAUGUUGCAUUAACUACUGGUGGCUGCUUUACUGCCUUUAAAACAUGCAUAUAUAAUUGGAUACUGUAAUGCUUUGUGGGUAAAAUAAAUACCAACUCACACUAAAAUAAAUAUUCUGCAUGAUGAAGUUCAUGUAGACAUAAAUUAAUCAUUUACCCGUUAACUGAUAUGCACAGGAAAGAAAUAGAUCACUUAUUAAAGGUUGCCUCAUCUAUAAAAUGGGAAAAUAAAAUGCCGAUAUAUUUUACAGUGCUGCUGUGAGGAAAAAUGUAUAAAAUUAUUGCUAAGCAGUUUAUAAACCAUAAAAUGCAGUAUGAACAUUAAAUUAAUAAUAUUUGUACUAAUUCAGAUUCAACACCCU